CGCGGCCUAUCAGCUUGUUGGUGAGGUAAUGGCUCACCAAGGCUAUGACGGGUAGCGGGUCUGAGAGGACGAUCCGCCACACUGGGACUGAGACACGGCCCAGACUCCUACGGGAGGCAGCAGUGGGGAAUAUUGGACAAUGGGCGAAAGCCUGAUCCAGCAAUACCGUGUGAAGGAAGAAGGCUCUUGGGUCGUAAACUUCUGUCGGCAGGGAAAAAGGUUCGUCGGUGAAUAGCCGGCGCGCUUGAUGGUACCUGCAAAGGAAGCACCGGCUAACUCCGUGCCAGCAGCCGCGGUAAUACGGAGGGUGCAAGCGUUGUUCGGAAUUACUGGGCGUAAAGCGCGUCUAGGUGGGAUGGUAAGUCUCGUGUGAAAUGCUACGGCUCAACCGUAUGCACUGCGCGAGAAACUGCUGUUCUUGAGUGGCAGAGAGGCAGGCAGAAUACCUGGUGUAGCAGUGAAAUGCGUAGAUAUCAGGUGGAAUAUCUGAGGCGAAGGCGGCCUGCUGGAUGCUUACUGACACUGAAGCGCGAGAGCGUGGGUAGCAAACGGGAUUAGAUACCCCGGUAGUCCACGCCGUAAACGAUGGGCACUAGUUGUUGGAGGAUUGACCCCUUCAGUGACGACGCUAACGCAUUAAGUGCCCCGCCUGGGGAGUACGG
rnacentral:rRNA from 1 species